UGCCAGCAGCCGCGGUAAUACGAACUGUGCGAACGUUAUUCGGAAUCACUGGGCUUAAAGGGUGCGUAGGCGGUCUCGUAGGUCAGGUGUGAAAUCCCGGAGCUCAACUCCGGAACUGCCUUCAAAACUACAUAGCUAGAGAAUGCGAGAGGUGAGCGGAAUUCCGAGUGUAGAGGUGAAAUUCGUAGAUAUUCGGAAGAACACCAGUGGCGAAGGCGGCUCACUGGCGCAUUACUGACGCUGAGGUGCGAAAGCGUGGGGAGCAAACAGGAUUAGAUA
rnacentral:rRNA from 1 species